rnacentral:lncRNA from 1 species
GUGCAGGCGGCCAAUAUCUGGGCCAAAGUCUCCUAAAGGCCUGGAAUCUCAAUGGGCACAGCUGGUGCAUGAGCUGAUCCUAUCGGCUCAUCUAUAUCCGAAAUCUGCUCCUGAGCUGGAACAACUGGUGGUACUACAGGUGCUGGUCCAACUGUGGUACAAGCUACACCUUGAACUCUACCUCAGCCCCGGACUCUACCAUGGCCCCGGCCUCUCACGGCCCUAACUGGUGGCACUGAUGGCUGACCGUCUGAUCCGGUAGUACGUGUCCUCACCAUCUGUGAGAGAAUAGAAUAGCAGAAAUUUAGUUUCAAGAAUCAACAAAUUCGCACCACAGAAUAGAAAAAAGUGAAAUUUUCCUAAGGGUUCUGCAGCCUCUCGAAUAUAAGUACAGACGUCUCCGUACCGAUCCGCAAGACUCUACUAAACCUACUCAUGACUCGUGAGACCUAUAUAUCCUAGGCUCUGAUACCAACUUGUCACGACCCAAAAUCCUAACCCGUCGUGAUGACGCAUAUCUCGAUACUAGGCAAGCCGAAAAUCUCGAUAAACCAUAAUUUCUCUUAAGCUUGAAAAUACAAUACAAAAUCCCACAAAUACUGACACGAACACUCCCCAAAACCUAGUGUCACUGAGUACAUGAGCAUCUAAUAUGAAUACAAGGAGAUAGAGAAGGAGAGACAAGGUCUGCAGAAUACGGCAGCUACCUCAGAAUCUCCUGAAAAUCAACUGCACAAAAUGAUCAACACCUGCUAUGUCCGAGAACACCUGGAUCUACACACGAAGUGCAGGGUGUAGUAUGAGUACAACCAACUCAGCAAGUAACAAUAACAACUAAGAAACAGAAAAUAAUGACGAGCUACACAGUUAUAGUUCACUUUUAGUAAUUCCAGCAAAGAAUAGACAUGCUUUCAAAUCCGGCAGUUUAAGUCAAAUCAAUUUUAUAUAGUUCAAUUUCAUGUAAUCCGGAUAUAAAAUAUUUCAGAGAUUUCAGAACAAUGACAGAUAGCAAUCAAGUGCAAUAACAAAUGCAAAGCAAGUACAGCCUCUUAGGCGACAAUCACUCAACUCAUCACAACAACUCAACCACUCAGCUCUCAUCCCUCAGCACUUUCACUCAAUGGGUACCCGCACUCACUGGGGGGUGUACAUACUCCGGAAGGGCUCCUACAGCCCAAAUGCCAUAAUCUGCAUGGACAACUCAUGUGCUAUAAUAUCAUGCACGGACAACUCACGUGCCAUAAUAUCCUUACCACACUGACAUGCCCUCGGCCUUACUCAGUCCUCAACCUUUCUAGUCUCUCGGGCUCUCAGAAAUCACAAAGAUCAGCCCAAAAAAAUAACAUAGUGUAUCGACAAAUAUCUAGAAAAGACUGAGGUAUAAUACGCAAGAAAAAUCAUGACUGAGUACAAGACGGCAAUUAGCAAAUAAUUCAACAAGUACGCGACCUCGAUGGGUCCCAACAGUACUAUCACAUAGCCUAAGCAUGAUUUCUAACAUGAUUUAUUGUCAAAUUGCUUCAACACAUAAAGAGCAUAUAGCUAACAACAAAUUAUUCAACUUUACAGUUUCACGGGACGGACCAAGUCACAAUCCCCUCGGUGCACACCCAUACGUCUGUCACCUAGCAUGUGCGUCACCUCCAAAAUAAUCACAUAACAUUAAAUUUGGGGUUUCAUACCCUCAGGACCAGAUUUAUAACUGUUACUUACCUCAGAGCGUGAAAUUCUUCACUCUACUAUGCCUUUGCCUCGCAAAUCGGCCUCUGAAUGCCUCGAAUCUAGUCACAACUAAUUCGUUUUAGUCAAUAAACUUAUUGAAAUUAAUUCCAUAUGAAAAAAUAUAAUUUUCCAUAAAAAUCUGAAUUUAGCUCAAUAAUCGCCCGUGGGGCCCACAUCUUGGAACCCGGAAAAAGUUAUAAAAUCCGAAAGUCCAUUUAACCACGAGUCUACCCAUACCAAUUUUUCCAAAAUCCGACCUCAACUCGACCCUCAAAUCUAUAAAUCUUAUUUCCAAAUUUCUAAGUUCCAAUCUUCGAUUUACACCUCAAAAUCAUGUAAUCUAGUCGGAUUAUUCAAUGAUAAUUCAAUAUUAUGGAGUAGAAAUGAUCACAAGGGACUUACCUCAAGUUUUUCUUGAAAAUAUAUCAAAAAUCGCCUCUCCUCAAGUUCCAAUUUGUCAAAAAUGGCGAAUGGGACGAAGUCCCUGUUUUUAUAAUUCUGCUCAGUCACCCUCGGUUUUGCCUCGAUCUUGGCCUUCGAUCGAGGUCCUCGAUCCUGGGCCUCGACUCUGACCCUCGAUCCUGGCCCUCGAUCAUGGCCCUCGACCCUGUCCUUCGAUCAUGUCUUCGACCCUGGUCUUCGAGCCUGCCUUCGAUCGUGGCCCUCGACCCUGGGCUAGAUCGUGGCUUCGAUCCUGAUCCUCGACCCUGCCUUCGAUCGUGGCCCUCGACCCUGGCUCGAUCGUGGCUUGAUUUUGGGCUCGAUUCUGGCAGAAGAAAUUUCCAGCAGAAGGAAAUUGCAGCAGUUGUUGUAGUUCAAUUUUUGAUCUGUUAACCAUCCGAAACUUACCCGAAGCCCUCGGGACCUCAACCAAAUAUACCAACAAGUCCUAAAAUAUCAUACGAAUUUAGUCUAAUCCUCAAAUCACCUCAAACAAUGCUAAAACCAUGAAUUACACCCAAAUUCAAGCUUAUUGAACUUUAAAAUUUUUAAUUUCUACAAAUGACUCUGGAACUUGCCAAAUCACGUCCGAUUGACAUCAAAGUUUUCACACAAGUCAUAAAUGACAUAACGGAGGUAUUCAAAUUUUCAGAAUUGGAUUCCGACCCCGAUAUCAAAAAGUCAAUCCCCCGGUCAAACUUCCCAAAAAUUCAACUUUCGGCAUUUCAAGCCUAAUUCUACUACGGACCUCCAAAUAUUUUUCCUGACCGGCUCCUAAGUCCAAAAUAACCAUACGGAGCUAUUGAAAUUAUCAGAAUUUGAAUCCGAGGUCGUUUACAUAUAGGUCCAUAUCCGGUCAACUUUUUUAACUUAAAUUUUUAAUUAUGAGACUAAGUGUCUCAUUUCAUUCCGAAUUCCUUUCGGACCCGAACCAACUAACCCGAUAAGUCAUAAAUCAAUUGCAAGGCAUAAAUUGAGCAGUAAAUGGGGGAACGGGCUUAUAAUAUUCAAAACGAUCGGCCGAGUCGCUACAAAUUUCAACGAAGGUAAAAGAAACUAGUCUACUUCAUUGCCUACUUAUUGUAACUAAACAUACUAAUUUUAGCACUCAUCUAUUUUCUUUUAAUGAGCAGGAAGUAGAAUAAGAACCAAAGAAACUGAAAAGAACUCGGGUAUGUCAUUCUUCUUCACUUUCAAUCAAAUAGAACAAAAUUACAAGGUUGAAAGAUACCUAGAUUGCAGAAUUUUAGACGCAGCAGCAAGGUAAAGAAAAACGGCAACUAAACCCGACCAAAACCAACCAGAAACAGCAGCAAACAAACCAGUAAAACCAAUCAGAUUCACUUCCGAAAACGUGCAGAACCAAAAUCAGAAACUAAAGAAGAAGACUAAAGAAAACUUUUCUUUCUUUUGUGUUCUUUCAUUUUUCUGGAAUAUUUCUCAAAGAAGGAAGAUUGUAGAGAGUUUUUAAGUUACUCCAGAUGCUCUCAAGUGGUGUUUCAUUUUUCGUGAGUAAGGAUCUGUAUUAUAAGUAUAAGAGAGUGUCCUUUAUAGGAGAAGAUCAACCCUUUAAACAGGUAAAUAAAGUCAGAUUUUUUGGACAGAUUUUGGUUCACCAAAAGUCUGUCCAAAAGACUGACUUUGUGUGCUAAACACUGUUCAACAGCUAUCCAAAAGGUGAAAGGACAACCUGAAAAUCUGCUAUGUCAGAAGCAAGGAGAAAAAAUAUCAUUUCAGCCACCCUAUUAGUAAAACGUAGGGUACUAUUACUCUAUUUUGUGAUAAAAUAACCUAAACUUUAGAUUUUAACCAUCAGCACCAAACUACUUACUCAACACAAAUCAAACUUAAACAACUAUGGACUGUCAAAACAUAAAUAACUUUCAUUGUAACUAAUACUAAAACUAACUAGGCUAAAUCAAUUUGAUUUAUGCAACCAACAAUCGAUCAGGAUCAAGGAGUCACUAACUCAAGCUAAACAAAUACAAACUCAUUAACUAAAUAAUCAUUAUGUGCAGCUAAUCAGAGCUCCAUACUGCAUACCAACCAUCUAAAUCACAAACACUAACUAAAUAAGAUUCAUUGAGCAAUUGAGCUAUUGUUUUCGGGUAAGACAUCUAAACUAUUUGAUUUAAAGAAAAUACAUAAACUAAAAGAUCAUCAUGAAUAAGAAACAAACAGAAAAUUUUUAAGCUAAAACUAGGCCUAAACUAACUUCAAAGAAACAAAUAAAAUUUAAAAGGAAACAAGAGAUAAGGGUAUACCAAACGAAAGUGCCUAAUGCUAAUUCGAGCACCCGAAGACGCCAAAGAUGUCGGGUGGUGGUUGUCCGACCCCGAGGCACAUGUUUCUUUUUGGCAGAAGCUAUACCAAUAGAUUCCGGCAUCUUGCUAAAAGAAAAUAAUUGCCUUUGGGUCAGGAAACAAAAAGACGGAGAAGCAGUGGUGGUCGCCAAAAUUUUGGCUUCAAAAUAAUACUUAUGUGAUAUACACACUCAUGUAGGUAUUAAAUGGUGGUGAGGUCUCAAACUUGAUGAAUUUGAAGAGAAAAGGGCGGCUAGGGUUUCGGUUUUUUGGAGAUUCGUGGAGUUUGGUUGGGAUUUUGAGGCCUUGAGUUGGAGAUAUGGAGAGAGGAGGAGAUGGUGCGAUUUUGGGGGUGUUUGGGGCUAGCUGCCGGCGACGGCGCCGUGGAGAGGGGCAGCGACGGCAGAGGGGGGAAAGGAGAAAGAAGAAGGAGCUCUAGGGUUUGGGGUUAUGGGAGAA